CAGUCGCCACGGUAAUACGAAGGUCCCAAGCGUUGUUCGGAAUCACUGGGCGUAAAGGGAGCGUAGGCGGCGUGGUAAGUCAGAUGUGAAAUCCCGGGGCUCAACCCCGGAACUGCAUCCGAUACUGCCAUGCUUGAGGGUUGGAGAGGUAGCUGGAAUUCUUGGUGUAGCAGUGAAAUGCGUGGAUAUCAAGGGGAACACUCGUGGCGAAGGCGAGCUACUGGACAACAUCUGACGCUAAGGCUCGAAGGCCAGGGUAGCGAAAGGGAUUAGAUACCCGUGUAGUCCCUGUCUCUUAUAA
rnacentral:rRNA from 1 species